rnacentral:rRNA from 1 species
AGAGUUUGAUCAUGGCUCAGAACGAACGCUGGCGGCAGGCUUAACACAUGCAAGUCGAACGGACCCUUCGGGGUUAGUGGCAGACGGGUGAGUAACGCGUGGGAACCUACCUAUAAGUACGGAACAACACAGAGAAAUUUGUGCUAAUACCGUAUGUGGUCUUCGGAUUAAAGAUUUAUCGCUUAUAGAUGGGCCCGCGUUAGAUUAGCUAGUUGGUGAGGUAACGGCUCACCAAGGCGACGAUCUAUAGCUGGUCUGAGAGGAUGAUCAGCCACACUGGGACUGAGACACGGCCCAGACUCCUACGGGAGGCAGCAGUGAGGAAUAUUGGACAAUGGGGGCAACCCUGAUCCAGCCAUGCCGCGUGAGUGAUGACGGCCUUAGGGUUGUAAAGCUCUUUCAGUAGUGAAGAUAAUGACGGUAACUACAGAAGAAGCCCCGGCUAACUUCGUGCCAGCAGCCGCGGUAAUACGAAGGGGGCUAGCGUUGUUCGGAAAUCACUGGGCGUAAAGCGCGCGUAGGCGGACUUUUAAGUCAGGGGUGAAAUCCCGAGGCUCAACCUCGGAACUGCCUUUGAUACUGGAAGUCU